UACGUAGGGGGCAAGCGUUGUCCGGAUUUAUUGGGCGUAAAGAGCGCGUAGGCGGCCAGGUAGGUCUGCUGUGAAAACUCGAGGCUCAACCUCGAGACGUCGGCGGAAACCAUCUGGCUAGAGUCCGGAAGAGGAGAGUGGAAUUCCUGGUGUAGCGGUGAAAUGCGUAGAUAUUGGGAAGAACACCUGAGGCGAAGGCGGGUUGCUGGGCCGUCACUGACGCUGAGGCGCGAAAGCCAGGGGAGCAAACGGG
rnacentral:rRNA from 1 species